rnacentral:rRNA from 1 species
ACUCAAAUGAAUUGACGGGGGCCCGCACAAGCAGCGGAGCGUGUGGUUUAAUUCGAGGCUACACGAAGAACCUUACCUGGGUUUGACAUGCAGGUGGUAGGGACUGGAAACCGUCCCGACCUUCGGGAGCCUGCACAGGUGCUGCAUGGCUGUCGUCAGCUCGUGCCGUGAGGUGUUAGGUUAAGUCCUGUAACGAGCGCAACCCCCGGCAAUAGUUACAUGUGUCUAUUGCGACUGCCCGUGACAAGCGGGAGGAAGGUGGGGAUGACGUCAAGUCAGCAUGGCCUUUAUAUCCAGGGCUACACACACGCUACAAUGGCCGGUACAAUGGGCAGCCAAGCCGCAAGGCGGAGCUAAUCCAGCAAAGCCGGUCUCAGUUCGGAUUGUGGGCUGCAACCCGCCCACAUGAAGUUGGAGUUGCUAGUAACCGCGCGUCAGCCAUAGUGCGGUGAAUACGUUCCCGGGCCUUGCACACACCGCCCGU